AUUUGCACGAUCUAGAGUGGAUCAUGAGCCGAACUUUGGGCAUAAACUAUAUUUAUUUUUAAUCACUUUGGGCAUAAACUAUGUAGUAAUCAUUUUUGGCAUUAACAAAAUUUCUUAGAUUUUGUCUAAUGUCUAUGCUAGCACUAUAGGUAGAGGAGGGUGUUAUGAGGUAAGGUCUCCAAGCUGAUCAAUUAGGGCAUGCCCUCUCUAGCGACAGGGGACUUUAAUUGCGUUGAU
rnacentral:lncRNA from 1 species